CUUCCCUCCCACGGCUCCGCCACACCCAGCCAGCUCCCUGCCCUGCUCCUCACUGUCCCGCUCCCUUGUAAUGCUGACGCCGAGCGCUUGGCAGAAACCUGCGUGGAGAUUUCCACGUCUGCUCUCAGAGGAGCCCCGCCGCGAGGGUCGAGCAGGCAGAUCACGCAGGCAGCACACGCAGGAUCCCGCCUGCCGCAAAAUGAUUCUUGCGAGAACUUCUGCCCCCAGUCCACUGAUCGCUUCCUUACAGCGAACACCUACCUAGGCUUCCUGCCUCCUGAUCGCUUCUGCCCAGUUUCACUGUAGCAGCCACAGAUUCUGCUGGGACGCGGGGCUAUCCCCAUUACCCAUCUGCCUCCAGCCUCCAGGAAACUUUUCAUCUCACUCAAGCAAGAGCAAGUGUCCGUACAUUCUCCACCUCGCUCGCCAGUACCGCCCUCCCUCACCUCUCUGGUAGUCCUCUCUCCUCCUUCUAUUCUUGCCCUGGGCCAGGCCCUUUCUCCUGCUGUUGCUUUUGUCUUGAAAGCGUCUGGAGUUCAUCCAGGUUGUUCCCUCAUCCUCUCCCACAUUUAGUCAGACUUUCUCAGCCUGUUAACCCCACUGUCCAUCUUUUCCCUGAUUUAUUUUCUCCUUUUCACUUCAAUGAUUUAUCUAUUUGGCUCAUUUACCUGUUUUAUCCAUUACUAUAAAAUGUAAGACCCAUGAAAGCAGGCAUUUCUGUGUCUUGUUCACUGAUCAAUCAGCAAGAUUAUCCCAGUUCCUGGCCCAUGUUAGGUGCGAGGAAAGUAUUUG
rnacentral:lncRNA from 1 species